rnacentral:rRNA from 1 species
UUUCCAGACUCCUACGGGAGGCAGCAGUGGGGAAUAUUGCGCAAUGGGCGAAAGCCUGACGCAGUGACGCCGCGUGAGGGAUGAAGGUCUUCGGAUCGUAAACCUCUGUCAGCAGGGAAGAACGGUCACUGUGCUAAUCAGCAGUGAAUUGACGGUACCUGCAAAGGAAGCACCGGCUAACUACGUGCCAGCAGCCGCGGUAAUACGUAGGGGGCAAGCGUUAUCCGGAUUUACUGGGUGUAAAGGGGGCGCAGACGGCAGCGCAAGCCAGGAGUGAAAGCCCGGGGCCCAACCCCGGGACUGCUCUUGGAACUGCGCGGCUGGAGUGCAGGAGGGGCAGGCGGAAUUCCUGGUGUAGCGGUGAAAUGCGUAGAUAUCAGGAGGAACACCGGUGGCGAAGGCGGCCUGCUGGACUGCGACUGACGUUGAGGCCCGAAAGCGUGGGGAGCAAACAGGAUUAGAUACCCUGGUAU